rnacentral:rRNA from 1 species
UACGUAGGGGGCGAGCGUUGUCCGGAUUUAUUGGGCGUAAAGAGCGUGUAGGCGGUUCGGUAAGUCUGUCGUGAAAUCCUGAGGCUCAACCUCGGACGUGCGAUGGAUACUGCCGGGCUAGAGGAUGGUAGAGGCGAGUGGAAUUCCCGGUGUAGCGGUGAAAUGCGCAGAUAUCGGGAGGAACACCAGUAGCGAAGGCGGCUCGCUGGGCCAUUCCUGACGCUGAGACGCGAAAGCUAGGGGAGCGAACGAG